rnacentral:rRNA from 1 species
GACGAACGCUGGCGGCGUGCUUAACACAUGCAAGUCGAACGGAAAGGCCCCCUUGUGGGGUACUCGAGUGGCGAACGGGUGAGUAACACGUGAGUAACCUACCCUUGACUUUGGGAUAACUUCAGGAAACUGGGGCUAAUACCGGAUAGGAGCUCCUGCUGCAUGGUGGGGGUUGGAAAGUUUCGGCGGUUGGGGAUGGACUCGCGGCUUAUCAGCUUGUUGGUGGGGUAGUGGCUCACCAAGGCUUUGACGGGUAGCCGGCCUGAGAGGGUGACCGGCCACAUUGGGACUGAGAUACGGCCCAGACUCCUACGGGAGGCAGCAGUGGGGAAUAUUGCACAAUGGGCGGAAGCCUGAUGCAGCAACGCCGCGUGCGGGAUGACGGCCUUCGGAUUGUAAACCGCUUUCGCCUGUGACGAAGCGUGAGUGACGGUAAUGGGUAAAGAAGCACCGGCUAACUACGUG